rnacentral:rRNA from 1 species
AUUGAACGCUGGCGGCAUGCUUUACACAUGCAAGUCGAACGGUAACAGGCCGCAAGGUGCUGACGAGUGGCGAACGGGUGAGUAAUGCAUCGGAACGUGCCCAGUCGUGGGGGAUAACGCAGCGAAAGCUGUGCUAAUACCGCAUACGAUCUAUGGAUGAAAGCGGGGGACCGUAAGGCCUCGCGCGAUUGGAGCGGCCGAUGUCAGAUUAGCUAGUUGGUGGGGUAAAGGCCCACCAAGGCGGCGAUCUGUAGCUGGUCUGAGAGGACGACCAGCCACACUGGGACUGAGACACAGCCCAGACUCCUACGGGAGGCAGCAGUGGGGAAUUUUGGACAAUGGGCGCAAGCCUGAUCCAGCAAUGCCGCGUGCAGGAAGAAGGCCUUCGGGUUGUAAACUGCUUUUGUACGGAACGAAACGGUCUGGGUUAAUACCUCGGGGUAAUGACGGUACCUGAAGAAUAAGCACCGGCUAACUACGUGCCAGCCGCCGCAGUAAAAC